rnacentral:rRNA from 1 species
AAUCAACGCUGGCGGCGCGCUUAACACAUGCAAGUCGCACGAGAAAGGGAGUAAUCCUGAGUAAAGUGGCGCACGGGUGAGUAACACGUGGAUCAUCUACCUUUUAGUGGGGAAUACCUCUGGGAAACCGGAGACAAUACCGCAUAAGCCUGUAAAGGGAAAGCAGCAAUGCGCUGAAAGAGGAGUCCGCGGCCGAUUAGCUAGUUGGCGGGGUAAUGGCCCACCAAGGCGAAGAUCGGUAGCCGGCCUGAGAGGCACACGGCCACACUGGCACUGAAACACGGGCCAGACUCCUACGGGAGGCAGCAGUGGGGAAUCUUGCACAAUGGACGAAAGUCUGAUGCAGCGACGCCGCGUGAGCGAUGAAGCCC